UACGUAGGCAGCGAGCGUUGUUCGGAAUUACUGGGCGUAAAGAGCGUGUAGGCGGUGCUCUAAGUUCGGUGUGAAAUCUCCUGGCUCAACUGGGAGGGUGCGCCGGAAACUGGAGUGCUUGAGCGUGGGAGAGGAAAGCGGAAUUCCUGGUGUAGCGGUGAAAUGCGUAGAUAUCAGGAGGAACACCUGUGGUGUAGACGGCUUUCUGGACCAUAGCUGACGCUGAGACACGAAAGCGUGGGUAGCAAACAGG
rnacentral:rRNA from 1 species